rnacentral:rRNA from 1 species
AUUGAACGCUGGCGGCAGGCCUAACACAUGCAAGUCGAACGGUAACAGGAAGAAGCUUGCUUCUUUGCUGACGAGUGGCGGACGGGUGAGUAAUGGCUGGGAAACUGCCUGAUGGAGGUGGAUAACGACUGGAAACGGUAGCUAAUACCGCAUAACGUCGCAAGACCAAAUAGGGGGUCCUUCGGGCCUGUUGCCAUCGGAUGGGCCCAGAUGGGAUUAGCUAGUAGGUGGGGUAACGGCUCACCUAGGCGACGAUCCCUAGCUGGUCUGAGAGGAUGACCAGCCACCCUGGAACUGAGACACGGUCCAGACCCCUACGGGAGGCAGUAGUGGGGAAUAUUGCACAAUGGGAGCAAGCCUGAUGCAGCCCUGCCGAGUGUAUGAAGAAGGCCUUCGGGUUGUAAAGUACUUUCAGCGGGGAGGAAGGGAGUAAAGUUAAUACCUUUACUCAUUGACGUUACCCGCAGAAGAAGCCCCGGCUAACUCCGUG